rnacentral:misc_RNA from 1 species
GAUGAAGAACGUAGUGAAAUGCGAUAAGUAAUGUGAAUUGCAGAAUUCAGUGAAUCAUCGAAUCUUUGAACGCAUCUUGCGCUCCUUGGUAUUCCUUGGAGCAUGCCUGUUUGAGUAUCAUGAGCAAAUCUCAAAGUCAAUUCCUUUUGUUGAUUCAAUUGGUUUUGCUUUGGACUUGGAGGCCUUGCAGAUUUCACAGUCUGCUCCUCUUAAAUGCAUUAGCUGGAUCUCAGUAAUUAUGCUUGGUUCCACUCGGCGUGAUAAGUAUCACUCGCUGAGGACACUGUUAAAAAGGUGGCCAGGAAAUUACUGAUUGAACCGCUUCUAACGGUCUAUUAAGUUAGACAAUUACCCUUAAGUUUGAUCUCAAAUCAGGUAGGACUACCCGCUGAACUUAAGCAUAUCAAUAAGCGGAGGA